rnacentral:tRNA from 1 species
GCCUUCAUAGCUCAGUGGUAGAGCGUCGGUCUCGUAGAUAAGUUGAAGGAAAGGAAAACCGGAUGUCGAGAGUGCUUUCCUCUCUGAAGGCA